UAGCUUAGUGGCGAACGGGUGAGUAACGCGUGAGUAACCUGCCCUGGAGUGGGGGACAACAGUUGGAAACGACUGCUAAUACCGCAUAAGCCCACGAUCCGGCAUCGGAUUGAGGGAAAAGGAUUUAUUCGCUUCAGGAUGGACUCGCGUCCAAUUAGCUAGUUGGUGAGGUAACGGCCCACCAAGGCGACGAUUGGUAGCCGGACUGAGAGGUUGAACGGCCACAUUGGGACUGAGACACGGCCCAGACUCCUACGGGAGGCAGCAGUGGGGGAUAUUGCACAAUGGGGGAAACCCCGAUGCAGCGACGCCGCGUGGAGGAAGAAGGUUUUCGGAUUGUAAACUCCUGUCGUUAGGGACGAUAAUGACGGUACCUAACAAGAAAGCACCGGCUAACUACGUGCCAGCAGCCGCGGUAAAACGUAGGGUGCAAGCGUUGUCCGGAAUUACUGGGUGUAAAGGGAGCGCAGGCGGACCGGCAAGUUGGAAGUGAAAACUAUGGGCUCAACCCAUAAAUUGCUUUCAAAACUGCUGGCCUUGAGUAGUGCAGAGGUAGGUGGAAUUCCCGGUGUAGCGGUGGAAUGCGUAGAUAUCGGGAGGAACACCAGUGGCGAAGGCGACCUACUGGGCACCAACUGACGCUGAGGCUCGAAAGCAUGGGUAGCAAACAGGAUUAGAUACCCUGGUAGUCCAUGCCGUAAACGAUGAUUACUAGGUGUUGGAGGAUUGACCCCUU
rnacentral:rRNA from 1 species